AACGAACGCUGGCGGCAUGCCUAAUACAUGCAAGUCGAACGAUCUCUUCGGAGAUAGUGGCGCACGGGUGCGUAACGCGUGGGAAUCUGCCCUUGGGUUCGGAAUAGCGUCGGGAAACUGACGCUAAUACCGGAUGAUGACGUAAGUCCAAAGAUUUAUCGCCCAGGGAUGAGCCCGCGUAGGAUUAGCUAGUUGGUGAGGUAAAGGAUCACCAAGGCGACGAUCCUUAGCUGGUCUGAGAGGAUGAUCAGCCACACUGGGACUGAGACACGGCCCAGACUCCUACGGGAGGCAGCAGUAGGGAAUAUUGGACAAUGGGCGAAAGCCUGAUCCAGCAAUGCCGCGUGAGUGAUGAAGGCCUUAGGGUUGUAAAGCUCUUUUACCCAGGAUGAUAAUGACAGUACCGGGAGAAUAAGCCCCGGCUAACUCCGUGCCAGCCGCCGCCGUAA
rnacentral:rRNA from 1 species